rnacentral:rRNA from 1 species
AUGGGCGGGUCCCCCUCCACCGCCAGCGCCCCCGCGGAGGCGCGCGAGCUGCGGGAGCAGGAGGCGCUCGCCUCCGCGGCCCUCUCCCUCCCGCUCCUCCGCGCCGUCUUCUCCCGCUCCCCCGACCUGGCCGCGACCCUCUCCCUCCCGCCGGCCUCCUUCCGCUCCGCCUCCCCUCUUGAAACUCCGGCGCACUUCCAGGACCUCCUUGCAAGCCUCGGCCCCACCAUCGCCUCCCUCUUCUUCUCCCGCGGCGCCUCCAAGGACGCGGGGGCGGGGGGCUGGGUCGGCUUCCUCAGGGGGUUCAACUCCUGCUGCGCGCGCGCACGGGCCUCGCUGCCGCUGGCGCUGCUCCUGCGCGUGUACGCCGCGGCCUGCGCCGACGCGGGCGCGCCCUGCGGCGUGCAGUUCCGCCCCGACGAGGACGGCGGCGGGGAUGAGGAGGGCGGGAAGGUCGUGGGGGAGCUCGCCCCCGGGGAGAUCGCCGUGCUGCUGUCCAUGUGCUGGGUCAUGGCGUGGAGCGGCUUGGCGCCGAGGGUUUCGGGCGGCGAGGAAGGGGGGAAGGGUGAGCCGGUGCUGCUCCCGGACGUGUCGCACCUGGUGCUGUCGGCGCUCGUGUCCGCGGGCGCCGUCGCCGAUGACGACGGUGUCUGGGGCUGGGAGGUUUCCUCUGCCGGGAAGGGGGUUUCGGUGCAGGAGUUCACGUCCUGGGUCAUCUCGACUGUCCCCGGGCUUGGCAACUGCCUCUCGCGGUAUGUGCAGGACAGGUUCCGGUCGUCUGAGGCUGAUCCAGCGAAGGAAAGCUCUGUUUCAACUGGUAACACAACUUUUGAUACUUCUGAUGCAUAUCUAUUAACACGUGGGAGGGCAUGGUCAAUCUCUCUCAGCGUCAGAAACACAUUGAGUGAAAAGUUUUUGUCAGCAUCUGUCAUUGGAAUGGACACAGAAGACCUUCUUUAUAGGUCAUCGCUUCAUGGAAAAGGUCUGAGCCGUUUUUGGUCUUGUGUUGAGGGGUAUAAGGGACCAGCGCUAAUUCUAAUCUCGGCAUUCUCGAAAGCUGGUAGUGAUAAUGUUGAUGCUGGCCGAAAAUGGGGACUUGGUGUAUUAACUGAGGAUGGAUUUGAGAACAAAGACACUUUCUAUGGUAGCUCUGGGUUCCUAUGUGCCACAUAUCCAAUAUUCCGCAUGCUUCUGCCAUCGGGUAAGGAGAAGAACAUCAUGUAUUGCCACCUGCAUACUCAGCUAAAGACGUAUGAGGCAACGCCAAAGCCUCUUGGCUUAGCAUUCGGCGGAUCAAUUGGAAACGAGAGGAUCUUUAUCGACGAGGACUUCUCUAAAGUUACAAUUCGCCAUCAUGCAGUUGACAAGACUUACCAACAUGGUUCUCUCAUUCCCAAUCAGGGUUAUUUACCUGUUGAGGCUUCAGUACUUGACUUCGAAGUAUGGGGACUUGGUGGACAAACAACAAAGCGGCAACAGGAUAUUUUCAAGAAGAGGGAGGAUAUUUUCUCAGGGCAGCGGAGAAAGAUUGAUCUCGCAGCUUUUGGCAACUGGGAAGACUCUCCAGAGAAAAUGAUGAUGGACAUGGUUUCUGACCCAAACAAGGCCCGUCGGGAAGAACGUUGA